rnacentral:snRNA from 1 species
GCAUGUGAGGGCGAUCUGCCUGUGACAUCUGUCACCCCAUUGAUUGCCAGGGCCUUGAUUUGGCUGAUCUGGCUGGCUAGGCGGGUGUCCCCUUCCUCUCUCACCGCUCCAUGUGCGUCCCUCCUGAAGCCGUGUGCUUGCUUGAAGAGGACGACCAUCCCUGAUAGAGGAGGACUGGUCUUCGGUCAAGGGUAUACGAGUAGCUGUGCUCCCCUGCUGGAACCUCCAAACAAACUCAAGAAAAUGAGAUGAUAAGCCACAGGAUGGGAGAAAAUAUUUGGGCAAAAAAAAACCCCACAAAAAAACACAUAUGGUAAAGGACUGUUAACCAAAAUAU